rnacentral:tRNA from 1 species
UGGCUCAGUUGGUAAAGAAUCUGCCUGUAAUGCAGGAGACCCAGGUUCAAUCCCUGG